UACAGAAAAAGGCAAACCUCCUGAAAGGGAGGGACGCAAAGCUUCAGGUCUAAAGCAGGGAGUAAUCGAUGCGAUGACGGCUGGGCUGCCUGG
rfam:Bacillus sp. B-jedd genome assembly, contig: CONTIG000001